GAUGAACGCUGGCGGCGUGCCUAAUACAUGCAAGUCGAGCGAACAGACGAGGAGCUUGCUUCUCUGAUGUUAGCGGCGGACGGGUGAGUAACACGUGGAUAACCUACCUAUAAGACUGGGAUAACUUCGGGAAACCGGAGCUAAUACCGGAUAAUAUAUUGAACCGCAUGGUUCAAUAGUGAAAGACGGUCUUGCUGUCACUUAUAGAUGGAUCCGCGCUGCAUUAGCUAGUUGGUAAGGUAACGGCUUACCAAGGCAACGAUGCGUAGCCGACCUGAGAGGGUGAUCGGCCACACUGGAACUGAGACACGGUCCAGACUCCUACGGGAGGCAGCAGUAGGGAAUCUUCCGCAAUGGGCGAAAGCCUGACGGAGCAACGCCGCGUGAGUGAUGAAGGUCUUCGGAUCGUAAAACUCUGUUAUUAGGGAAGAACAAAUGUGUAAGUAACUGUGCACGUCUUGACGGUACCUAAUCAGAAAGCCACGGCUAACUACGUG
rnacentral:rRNA from 1 species